AAAAAAAACACCCUUCUCGCCUCCCGUUCGGCCGUUCCCCACCUCUCUCCUCCCCCCCUCUUUGUCGGCUCGCGGCCUUCACUCCUUGCGGCGACGGCUGGGCGAGCAGCGCCGCCCUUCGGCAGGUCUUCGUCGGGUCCGUCGCUAGGUCUUCGUCGGAUCCUUGGCCAGCGAGGAGGAUCCACCAGGUGGUUUGCAGAGUGAGCUGACCAAGAUGUCUGGAAAUCCAGUUGGCAUUGACAACACUUCUCGGAGGAAAUUUGACAAGGAAGAGUACUUGGAGCGAGCUCGACAGAGAGAACAACGGGAGAAGGAGGAAGCCCGGAAAGGCAAGGAAAGGGGCCCUCCUGUGCAAAGACAACCUUUGAAGCACAGAGAUUAUGAAGUUGAUCUCGAGUCUCGUCUUGGCAAGACUCAGGUGGUGACCCCAAUUGCACCAUUGAAUCAGCAGGCUGGAUACUACUGUUCUGUAUGUGAAUGUGUUGUUAAAGAUUCGGCCAACUAUUUGGACCAUAUAAAUGGCAAGAAGCAUCAGAGAGCAUUGGGCAUGUCUAUGCGUGUUGAAAGGGCAUCACUUGAACAGGCAACAGCUUGUGAUGUUCCCAGACCUCGUCAUCCGCUGGACCGACGAAUGCUCCAGCCCUAUUGCCACUCAAACUGCUCGCCCUCAGUGUUCAGAAAAGGUUUGAGGCACUUAAGAAGAGGAAGGACCCAAGCACCUUUACUGAACAAGAUUUGGAUGAGAGAAUAAUGAAACAACAACAAGAGGAGGAGGAGAGGAAACGGCAACGCAAAGAAAAGAAAAAGGAGAAGAAAGUAAGUGCAGCCAGACAGCCAGAUGCAUGCAUGCAGAUAGAGAGAACAGGCAGCCCAACACGAGCCCGAAGAUGUCGACCCUGACAUUGCUGCCAUGAUGGGUUUCGGAGGAUUCGGUUCCUCGAAGAAGUGAAUUCAUUCAGUUGGCAGCAUCUCUUUGGUGACUUGUGCUGAAAGAUGUGGGUUGAGACCACAUGCGCCUGUGCAACAAAGAAUUGUACUUUAGCAGAUUCGUGAUAAGAAUCGUAUGGGCUUUGAUGAUGCCAAGUCCAACACUGGAUAUUGAACUCGAAAAUGCCUUUGUACCUGAGUUUAUAGUCAAAUGCAGCAUCGAAGAGUGUUUGUUUUGAACUUGUU